AUUUAAAUAGCUUAUAUUUAGAGCAUAAUAUUGAAGAUAUUAAGGAGAUUAAUUAAAAUUUUUAAAUA
rnacentral:tRNA from 1 species